UUGUAAAUGUAAAAUUUUUGCUAAAUUAUUAAAAGUUAAGUUCUUUAAAUUUAAAGAUUUUGGCGGUAUUUUAGUCUACUCAGAGGAACCUGUCCUAUAAUUGAUAUUCCACAAUAAGUUAUACCAGUAUUUUUAAUUUGUAUAUCGUCGUAGGUUGAAUAUUUUAUAAGAAUUUAAAUGUUCAAGAUUUUUUAUUUAAAAAUAAAUCAGAUCAAGGUGUAGUUUAUAUACUGGUAGAGAUGGGUUACAAUAAUUAUAUUUAUGGAUUAAUAGUUUAAAAGUAUUAUGAAAAUGGAUUUGAUAGUAAUUUUAUUAUUUUACUAAAAUGACAAUAGCUCUAAAAUAUG
rnacentral:rRNA from 1 species